AAGGGUUGGGCUGGUCGCCCAUUAAAGCGGCACGCGAGCUGGGUUCAGAACGUCGGGAGACAGUUCGGUCCUUAUCCGUCGCGGGCGCAGGAAAUUUGAGAGGAGCUGUCCUUAGUACGAGAGGACCGGGAUGGACACACCGCUGGUGUACCAGUUGUUCCGCCAGGAGCAUCGCUGGGUAGCUAUGUGUGGCAGGGAUAAACGCUGAAAGCAUCUAAGCGUGAAGCCCCCCUCAAGAUGAGAUUUCCCAUUUCUUCGGAAAGUAAGAUCCCUGAAAGAUGAUCAGGUAGAUAG
rnacentral:rRNA from 1 species